rnacentral:rRNA from 1 species
AUGGGUGGUUAUAGCAAUGUGGAUCCACCUCUUCCCAUUCCGAACAGAGAAGUUAAACACAUUAGCGCUGAUGGUACUGGUUUUUCCGGGAGAGUAAGUCUCCGCCCAUUUUUUUUAUUUUAUAUUAUAUAUUCGU